GCCUCUGUAGCUCUGUGGUUAUAGAGCGCGGCACCGGAAUCGCAGCACCGCAGGUUCGAUUCCUGCCAGGGACU